AUGGAAAGCAAAAGCCCACCAGAACCUUGUUGUUUGAAGCUCUUUAAACCACUUCUCCUGUUACUGCUGACUGACGAGUGACAGAGGUUGAGACUUUACAGCACCAGCCUAUGUUUGCCUGAGGAGGAGAUUUGUCUGCGUGGGGCCAGUGGCGAACAGACCUAACAGUAGCUAACCUGCUUGGGACAAGGGCUUAGACUCCCAACUCUGCCACUUCCAAGUUAUGUGACAUUAGUUAAGCUUGCUCUGUGCCUCAGUGUUUUCAUCAGUAAAAUGGGGAGAAUAAUGGCACCGGCCUUGCCGUGCUUUUAUAAAGACUGGAAAUACAGUGAAAACACUUCUCACUGCCUAGCCAGCCUCCCGAGACGUGCCGACUGCUGUCACGCACGUGAAUCAAUAUUUCUGUCCACGAGAAAGCUUGCGUAUAACUGUCAUCCCUGGAGACCGUACUGCCUGGUGACUUGUCUGUGGAAGUGUGUUCCCCUGAGGAUGAAACCGUCAAAGACCUUUUCCUCAGGAUGCGUCCCUGCUGUUAAGCGACACAUGACUCCGCCACAAGGUCCACCUAGGUCUCUGCUCAUCUUUGCUCUGUAAUUCAUUAGGAGAUGGGCUCCUUGCCAUAGCAAUUCUUUGUGCACUCUUGGGGCCAGCAGUAUGGAGCGGAAACCAUGAAUGAGCCACCUACUAAUGGCCAGAACGGUCACAACGUCUGUGAACCAGUCUCCUGGGAAUCUCCGCCAUGCGUGUUGUGAGCAAACGCGGAGGGCUUACAUUAUAUUCUAAAUCCAUUUGUAAUUAUAAGUGAGAAUGACCGGGGCAAUCUGUUUUGUUUCUCUGUGAUUUUUCUAGACCCAGAGCAUGAUAGUUUGUAGAAGCUCAGCCCAGGGAGUGGCACUAUUAGAAGGUGUGGCCCUGUUGGAGUGGGUGUGUCACUGUGGGCGUGGGCAAAAAGACCCUCACCCUAGCUUCCUGGAAGUCAGACUUCCACUAGGAGCCUUCAGAUGAAGAUGUAGAACUCCCAGCUUCUCUUACACCAUGCCUGUCUGGAUGCUGCCGUGCUCCUGCCUUGAUGAUGAUGGACUGAACCUCUGAACCUGUAAUCCAGCCCCAACUGAAUGUUGUCUUUAUAAGACUUGCAUUGGUUAUGGUGUCUGUUCACAGCAAUAAGACCAUAACUAAGAUACCAGAGAUACAGAUCACCAUGGGGAGCUGGAAAAAGAGCCAACAAAUAGGUCCCUGGUCCCAAGAUGAAACUUAUACUGCAUCCUAAGUUCUGACUGCCACAAGAGUCAGGUGACCUGGAAUCAAUCACAUUAAGAGUCUGUGAUGACUUCCCCUAAUCAGCAGACACCAGCAACAUCAUCAAACCUACAAGUGUCAGAAUUCUAAUGUGUCAAGC
ensembl:lncRNA